rnacentral:antisense_RNA from 1 species
GAGCCUAGGAUGGGUGGAGCCUGAGUGGGAGGUGGGCGGGGCUCGGGCGGGACCUGACGAGUACUUACAAGGCAGCGGCCAGCCACGCAGACCCCCUGGGCACCCGGGCUGCAGGCGGUGCCGUCCAGGACUCGGCCGAAGCUGUGGUAGAAGGCGUGCCCCUCAGCCAGGCAGUUGAGGUCACACUGGUUGGGCGCUGAGGGCAGGAGGAGUCGGUGGGCCGGGGACCCCUAUUCGAGUUCCAGUCCUCCUCUACCACGGGCAGAUGAAGCCCAGAGAUUUGGCCAAAGCCACACAUCGAGGCUGAGGCAGAGCCAGGACUGGACCGUAGGUGCUCUGCCUCCAGCAACCUAGGACUCCCAGACACUGUUCCAAGCUCUAGGAUACAGAAGCAAGAAUUCAGUGUGCAGAUGGAUGGCCUUAAAAAAG